CCCAUAAAGCUGCAGCCAGUACUAAAUAAAAACUUGACACACCGAAUGACUGUCUUAAAUGUGAUUCGUAGCAGGCAGUUGUUUUGGUCUUGUAGGUGAAAAGCCCUUCAGAACUUUGUAACGUUCUUCUUCAAAGUCUGAGGAACCAGUAAUUUUUCAGACCUUUCUUCUUU